GAAAGUCCUUCGGGGCGAGUACAGUGGCGCACGGGUGAGUAACACGUAGGUAACCUACCCAUUGGUGGGGGAUAACUCGGAGAAAUCCGGGCUAAUACCGCAUAAGUUGGUAACAAGAAAGGAUGCUUCGGCAUUCGCCGAUGGACGGGCCUGCGAAUCAUUAGCUUGAUGGUGGGGUAAAAGCCUACCUUGGCAACGAUGAUUGGCGGAUCUGAGAGGAUGAUCCGCCACACUGGAACUGAGACACGGUCCAGACUCCUACGGGAGGCAGCGGUGGGGAAUAUUGCGCAAUGGGCGAAAGCCUGACGCAGCAACGCCGUGUGAGUGAGGAAGGCCUUCGGGUUGUAAAGCUCUGUCAGAUGGGAAGAACAAGUCAUGGUCUAAUAGGCCAUGGCCCUGACGGUACCAUCAGAGGAAGCACCGGCUAACUUCGUGCCAGCAGCCGCGGUAAUACGAAGGGUGCAAGCGUUGUUCGGAUUUAUUGGGCGUAAAGCGCGCGCAGGCGGAUGUGCAAGUCAGAUGUGAAAUCUCGGGGCUCAACCCCGAAACUGCGUCUGAAACUGCUCAUCUAGAAUCUCGGAGAGGGAAGUGGAAUUUCGCAUGUAGGGGUAAAAUCCGUAGAGAUGCGAAGGAACACCAGAGGCGAAGGCGAUUUCCUGGCCGAGUAUUGACGCUGAGGCGCGAAAGCGU
rnacentral:rRNA from 1 species